rnacentral:hammerhead_ribozyme from 1 species
AUCCAGCUGGAGAGUCCUAAAUAGGACGAAACGUGCGUCCUGAAU